AUCAAUAAGCGGAGGAAGAUUCCGUAGAAAACGGGGCGCCCCCGCCAGAGGACCCCCUAACUCUGUUUCUAUAAUGUUUCUUCUGAGUAAAACAAGCAAAUAAAUUAAAACUUUCAACAACGGAUCUCUUGGCUCUGGCAUCGAUGAAGAACGCAGCGAAAUGCGAUAAGUAAUGUGAAUUGCAGAAUUCAGUGAAUCAUCGAAUCUUUGAACGCACAUUGCGCCCGCCAGAUUCUGGCGGGCAUGCCUGUUCGAGCGUCAUUACAACCCUCAGGCCCCCGGGCCUGGCGUUGGGGAUCGGCGGAGGCCCUCCGUGGGCACACGCCGUCCCCCAAAUACAGUGGCGGUCCCGCCGCAGCUUCCAUCGCGUAGUAGCUAACACCUCGCGACUGGAGAGCGGCGCGGCCACGCCGUAAAACCCCCAACUCUUCUGAAGUUGACCUCGAAUCAGGUAGGAAUACCCGCUGAACUUAAGCAUA
rnacentral:rRNA from 1 species